rnacentral:rRNA from 1 species
UACAACUUUCAGCGGUGGAUGUCUAGGUUCCCACAACGAUGAAGAACGCAGCGAAAUGCAUACGUAAUGCGAAUUGCAAGACCUCGUGAAUCAUUAAGAUUUUGAACGCACAUUGCGCUUUCGGGAUUUUCCCGGUGCAUGCUUGUCUGAGUGUCUGUG